rnacentral:rRNA from 1 species
GCGGCGYUGGGUCAUUCCCAGCGCCCGCCUGUCUGAGGGUCGGUAC